rnacentral:rRNA from 1 species
GACGAACGCUGGCGGCGUGCUUAACACAUGCAAGUCGAACGGAAAGGCCCUGCUUUUGUGGGGUGCUCGAGUGGCGAACGGGUGCGUAACACGUGAGUAACCUGCCCUUGACUUUGGGAUAACUUCAGGAAACUGGGGCUAAUACCGGAUAGGAGCUCCUGCUGCAUGGUGGGGGUUGGAAAGUUUCGGCGGCUGGGGAUGGACUCGCGGCUUAUCAGCUUGUUGGUGGGGUAGUGGCUUACCAAGGCUUUGACGGGUAGCCGGCCUGAGAGGGUGACCGGCCACAUUGGGACUGAGAUACGGCCCAGACUCCUACGGGAGGCAGCAGUGGGGAAUAUUGCACAAUGGGCGGAAGCCUGAUGCAGCAACGCCGCGUGCGGGAUGACGGCCUUCGGGUUGUAAACCGCUUUCGCCUGUGACGAAGCGUGAGUGACGGUAAUGGGUAAAGAAGCACCGGCUAACUACGUG